CAACUUCCUUGAAAGCUUUGUGCUUUGGUUUUUUCUCCCUUUUUCUCUCCUUCUACCACACAACCACUUCGGUGUUCUUGAAGUUAUUUUUCUCUCCAAAUCAAAUUGAAAAGGAGCUAAGAAACUACACCAAGGAGUUUACUGAUGCAGAUCUGGAGAAUGAAGGCAUGGACCCAUAUGCCAGUUUUGAUGGUUUUUGAAACCAUUCAACGAACGAUUAUGUGCUAGUUUAGAAAUUACUAGUUGUGCUUAUGUUUUAUUUUAUGGCAUGUAAAUAUGUAUAACGGUGUCAUGUUUAGCGUGUUUUAUGUUAUAAGCUUAUGUGCUGUUUGUGGCACUAAU